rnacentral:rRNA from 1 species
AACCUUCGGGAGGACGAUCACCACGGUGUGGUUCAUGACUGGGGUGAAGUCGUAACAAGGUAGCCGUAUCGGAAGGUGCGGCUGGAUCACCUCCUU